AAAUACAUGGUUGGAGGCUCAUCUCUGGAAUUUUGCCGAUUUCAUGACUAACCAGUCCAAGGAGGAAGGAAAAACUGGACCUCAUUAUGGAUUUACUUUUGGGAUACACUGAUUAUUCCAGAGGAAGGCACAAAGCCUGAGAAGCUUAAGUCGGGCCCCACCUUGGACAUACCGGUUCUCUGCAUCUUCAAUGAAGUAUCAGCCAGGCAUUUUGUUAGCUGGGUGUGGUAUGAAUGGGAGGUGACCCUGCUGAAGCGAUGGAUCCAGGACCUGCACACAGAAGAG